GAUGAACGCUGGCGGCGUGCCUAAUACAUGCAAGUCGAGCGAAUGGAUUAAGAGCUUGCUCUUAUGAAGUUAGCGGCGGACGGGUGAGUAACACGUGGGUAACCUGCCCAUAAGACUGGGAUAACUCCGGGAAACCGGGGCUAAUACCGGAUAACAUUUUGAACCGCAUGGUUCGAAAUUGAAAGGCGGCUUCGGCUGUCACUUAUGGAUGGACCCGCGUCGCAUUAGCUAGUUGGUGAGGUAACGGCUCACCAAGGCAACGAUGCGUAGCCGACCUGGGAGGGUGAUCGGCCACACUGGGACUGAGACACGGCCCAGACGCCUGCGGGAGGCAGCAGUAGGGAAUCUUCCGCAAUGGACGAAAGUCUGACGGAGCAACGCCGCGUGAGUGAUGAAGGCUUUCGGGUCGUAAAACUCUGUUGUUAGGGAAGAACAAGUGCUAGUUGAAUAAGCUGGCACCUUGACGGUACCUAACCAGAAAGCCACGGCUAGCUACGUGCCAGCCGCCGCCGUAA
rnacentral:rRNA from 1 species